CUCAUCUACACAAACUUCUCUAAGGCACUUGAUGUGGUCCUCCACUGCAUCCUCACCACUAAAUUGAAGAGAUACAGGGAUGUUUCCACGUGCUCCUUGGUCAAGAAUUUCACCAAGGAUCUGGGUCUCCAGCUACAGAAGUUCUAAAGUGAUACACUGGGUGUACAGAAAGGAUUUUCUUUUCACACUGGGCAGUUUCUCAGCACAAAUGCUGAUGAGGUCACUCAAGCACAUUACAGGACAAACAAAAUAUCAAUUUUUGGGAAAAUUUA